rnacentral:rRNA from 1 species
GAUGAACGCUGGCGGCGUGCUUAACACAUGCAAGUCGAACGGAAAGGCUCCUGCUUGCCGGGGUACUCGAGUGGCGAACGGGAGAGUAACACGUGGGUGAUCUGCCCUGCACUUCGGGAUACGCAUGGGAAACUGGGUCUAAUACCGGAUAGGACGAUGGUUUGGAUGCCAUUGUGGAAAGCUUUUCGGUGGGGGAUGAGCUCGCGGCCUAUCAGCUUGUUGGUGGGGUAAUGGCCUACCAAGGCGUCGACGGGUAGCCGGCCUGAGAGGGUGUACGGCCACGUUGGGACUGAGAUACGGCCCAGACCCGUACGGGAGGCAGCAGUGGAGAAUAGUGCACAAUGGGCGGGAGCCUGAUGCAGCGACGCCGCGUGGGGGAUGACGGCCUGCGGUUUGUAAACUCCUUUCGCUAGGGACGAAGCGCUAGUGACGGUACCUGGAGAAGAAGCACCGGCUAACUACGUG